rnacentral:rRNA from 1 species
CUGUACUAUCCUGUAACAGAACUGUGGGGACACAGGCAGAGAGCGUGAGCCGGGAAUGGAAAGACCGGUACAAGCGAGGUAGGAGAAGAGUUGGCAAAUCCGCUCUUUAAUCUGAAGACGUGAUGUGGACUGAAAAUAAGUAGGGAAGCACGUGAGCUGACUGUCAAGAAAAGCCGCUAUUGUUUGCAGGAUACCCGUACCGUAAACCGACACAGGUGGAUGAGGAGAGAAUCCUAAGGCCGACGGGAGAAGCAUUGUUAAGGAACUCGGCAAAAUGACUCCGUAACUUCGGGAGAAGGAGUGCCAGUAAGAUGGCCGCAGAGAAUUGGCCCAAGCAACUGUUUAGCAAAAACACAGGUCUAUGCAAAGCCGAAAGGUGAGGUAUAUGGGCUGACGCCUGCCCCGGCUGGAAGGUUAAGGGGAGAGGUUAGCGCAAGCGAAGCUUUGAACUUAAGCCCCAGUAAACGGCGGCCGUAACGAUAACGGUCCUAAGGUAGCGAAAUUCCUUGUCGGGUAAGUUCCGACCCGCACGAAAGGCGUAAUGAUUUGGGCACUGUCUCAACAAUGCACCCGGUGAAAUUGAAAUACCAGUGAAGAUGCUGGUUACCUGCGCCAGGACGGAAAGACCCCAUGGAGCUUUACUCCAGCUUGAUACUGGGAUUCGGUAUUGCAUGUACAGGAUAGGUGGGAGGCUAGGAAAUGGUAACGCCAGUUGCCAUGGAGCCAAUGUUGGGAUACCACCCUUGCAGUACUGGGUUUCUAACCAGCAGCCGUGAUCCGGCUGGGGGACAAUGUCAGGUGGGGAGUUUGACUGGGGCGGUCGCCUCCGAAAGGGUAUCGGAGGCGCUCAAAGGUUCCCUCAGAAUGGUUGGAAACCAUUCGAAGAGUGCAAAGGCAGAAGGGAGCUUGACUGCGACACCGACGGGUGGAGCAGGUACGAAAGUAGGACUUAGUGAUCCGGUGGUAUAAAGUGGGAUUGCCAUCGCUCAACGGAUAAAAGCUACCCUGGGAUAACAGGCUUAUCACUCCCAAGAGUUCACAUCGACGGAGUGGUUUGGCACCUCGAUGUCGGCUCAUCGCAUCCUGGGGCUGAAGUAGGUCCCAAGGGUUGGGCUGUUCGCCCAUUAAAGCGGUACGCGAGCUGGGUUCAGAACGUCGUGAGACAGUUCGGUCCCUAUCCGGCGUGGGCGUAAGAUAUUUGAGAGGAGCUGUCCUUAGUACGAGAGGACCGGGAUGGACUGGCCGCUGGUGUAUCUGUUGUCUUACCAAAGGCAUAGCAGAGUAGCCAAGCCGGGAAGGGAUAAACGCUGAAGGCAUCUAAGCGUGAAGCCCCCCUCAAGAUGAGAUAUCUCAUAACGUCAAGUUAGUAAGACCCCUUGAAGACGACGAGGUAGAUAGGGCAGAGGUGGAAGUGUGGUAACACAUGGAGCUGACUGUUACUAAUAGGUCGAGGGCAUAACCAA